UAAACAUACAUCAACAAUGAUCUAUUCUCUCAAAAAAAUCACCACACUCUAUGUUCAAGAAAUCCUAGAUUCCAAAAAUCCAGACGUUUAUCAUGAUGGUUAAGUCAUAUCUUCCACAUUUACACUUUUCAAAGAUUGACUAUGCUUUUACUACAUUACUGACAGGAAGUAUCACCACACUCUGUCUUCAAGAACUCCUAGAUUCCAAAAAUCCAAACGCUUGUCAUGGUGGUUUAGUCAUAUCUUCCAUCUUUAUCCUUUUAAAAGGGAGUAUCACCACAUCCGUCUUCAAGAACUCCUAGAUCCAAAAAUCCAGACGCUUGUCAUGAUGGUUUAAUCAUAUCUUCCACCCUUACACUUUUCGAAGGUUGGUAAUGCUUGUACCAUAUUCAUGACAGGGAGUAUCACCACAUUCUGUCUUCAAGAACUCUUAGAUCCAAAAAUCCAGACGCUUGUUAUGAUGGUUUAAUCAUAUCUUCCACCUUUACACUUUUCAAAGAUUGGUAAUGCUUCUACCACAUUUAUGACAGGUAAUUCUACAAUUGUAUCCACAUUCAUAUUUAAAAGGG